CCCCUCUCCUCCCCCAGCACCCACCCCGGCACCCCUCUCCUCCCCCAGCACCCACCUCUCUCCUCCCCACAGCACCCACCACCCACCCCGGAACCCCUCUCCUCCCCCAGCACCCACCACCCACCCCGGAACCCCUCUCCUCCCGCCAGACCCACCCCCAGCACCCACCCUGGCACCCCUCUCCACCCCUAGCACCCACCCCGGCACCCUGUCCCCUCCAGCAAGGAGCACCCCCUUUCCGCCGGGCAGUCGACCCCCCUGCAAGCAGCCCAGAGCCCACCCGUGCAUCCCGAGCGCCCGUCCCGGAGCCCGCUCCCCGGCGGCAGGCGGCGGGGAGCGGGGCAGGGCGCGGAGCUGCUUACCCGGUCUCCUCCUCCUCGAGCUCCGAGAUGUCCACGAAGAUGAGGAAGCCCACGAGCAGGAUGCCAAGUGAUGCCAGAAGAUUGAGCAGCGGUUUCGUUGAGGUCAGAACUUCCAGCCAGGACCUGCCCAUCAAAAACCAAUAAUCUAGAUAAAGACAUUGAGUUGCUGACGAUUCAGGAUGGGUCUCCAUCUUCCCUUUUUUCUUGGUGAUCAGGAAGUAUCUGGAAUGAAAACCCUUUCCUUGAUGUUUAUAUGGCACCAGAUCUACGGCUCUGCAUCAGAAAAGGGAAUCCACCUCUUGGAUGAGUAUCCCAUCGUUUGAAGACAGGAUCAGCUUGGGAUGCUGGAGGGUUCUGAUUCAGACCAUGUGGCAGUAGAGGACGAAUGGGGGAGGUGAUCUGUUCACAUCACCCCUUUAUGCCCUGGGUUUGGAGCAUGAGGAGGAGAAGAACACAGGCCAGACCAAUGGACACUGCUAGGAAGACUCCUAUGGUCUCAGAUGCAAGGAGCUCAUGCAUACUCCACAGUGUUACACACACAAAAAUCAGCACUGGAAGAAGAACUAGGGAAUCCACCCAUUACAAUUACUUUGACUUCAACUAUAAACAGUACAUCCUUAUCUAAGGGCCUGACCCUGCCUUCCCUGUGCACCCAAAACUCCCACUGAAGUCAACUAUGGCAUUUUUAAAAUAAAAACUCCUUUAGUUUUUAGAAUUUCAGGACAUGGGAACCCACGUAAUACCAAACUAACAAAAAAGCUUGGAUGAAACAAACCACUAGAUCGCACAUAGACCUUCUCACCAGAUUUCCAGCCCCGUUUUGCGAACUUGAUGUCCCAAUAACCUGACAAGUACUCGGAAAAAUCAACGUAAAGGUCUUGACCUCAGCGAGUUUACACUGGAGCUGGAUUUGAUGCCUGGUCUUUGCAUUCAAUCAAACUCUUGAACCUUCUGAGGUUCACGCAUUCCUAGUGGAAAAAAAACCCUCCAUUUAUACAUGGAAAAGUAGUGAUCAAUCAACUUUUAUCGCUCCAGCUUUCAUUACAGCAGCUUAGAACAAUAGAAUAAAAGCACGUAAUGAAAACAUUGUAAAAAUGUAAUAAAAACACACAAUCCUUGACUGUGCAAGCUUUGCUGUUUUAGCACAUCUUGGGGAACUGCACAGGAGAGGGCAGUCCAGCCUUCUGGUGUGCUGCCAGUAACCUCCAUAACACUACAUCACACUCUUUCCACUCCGGGAAUUGUGCCGAUUUAAACCACAGGAGUUAUGGGAGACUUUCACAAUGUUUAGAUGCAGCAAAUACCUGAAAGGUCUCUGGAUGGGUUUUGUCAUCUUGGCAUGGAAAGUUAGGUGGGAAAAUCGCUUGAGAACAGCCUCUCUCGUUGUACCACGAAGCUUCCUGGAAAUAGCAAGGAGAGAAAAGAUAGGUUCAGUUUGGGAUUUGGAAGAAAGUUAAGGGAGGUGUGGGUGGUCAUGAUGUUCUUAAACAAUUUGACCUGUCCAGACCCAUCUCUAAUUUAAACUUUUUGGACCAGAUUCAGCCUAGAUAUGAAUAGACUCAACUCCCAAAGUACCUGCCAAAGGCUGGAUUUGGCUCUUCGUGGCUGCCUAGUAUCACAAAGGUGCCACCCUGUUUGCUUUCAAGAGAUUAUUUCAUCUAAUCUAAUCUAAUAAUAGAAUAUCAGGGUUGGAAGAGACCUCAGGAGGUCAUCUACUCCAACCCCCGGCUCAAAGCAGGACCAACCCCAACACCAGUCCAUGAAGCACAAUGGUAUAUGAGCACCUAACUAUCCCUUCUCCGGCUCUCAUUAUUAUAAUAUUCUGGUUCCAGAAUUAAUCCUUUCCCACAUACAUUUUCAGUUUGGAAAAAAAAAAAAGUAGGAAAUAUCUCCCAGGAUGGGAAAAUCUCAUUAAUUUACCCCACCCCCAUGUGGUGUGUUCAUGCCCAUGUCUCUUUUCACAGUGAUAAAUAAAUCUAGGCAGUGAUUUUACUGUCAGUUCGAAGAGGCCCAGAGAGUUUGCCUUUUAUUUUAAUAAUUAACAAUUAAUGUUUUCACCUUCAAAAUGUUUCACAAACAUUAAAGAAGCACUAUGAAUUUAACAGUCACUCUCUGAUUUGAAUAUUUUUUUGCCUGUUAUUACAAGUAACACCUCAGAUGACUGGACUGUAAGAGGUUAAAGAAAAUAUUAUUCUUGAUUUUGUUUGCUUUUGACAACAGUUUGAGCAUAAACAUUUCCACUGCUUCUGUGGAACAGUCAAUCGCCGCCCCCCGCCCCUUGUUUGUGUGGCUCUUUUUAAUGGAAAAAACGGAAAGAGAGAAAUUUAAAACAAGUUGAAGUCACUGGAGUUGCCCCAUUUACCCCAGCUCUGAAUUUAGCCCGAUGGAAUUUUAUUGUUUCUUUAUCUACUGGAAAGAAUGUUUAAAAGUUUAAUUGGCAUAUAACGAGAUAACUAUAACAAGUUAAUUAGUUCUCAAUUACGUUGCAUUUGCCAUACGUUCUGAGCGUGCUCUUAGCAAUUAAGGACACCUAAUGAACUUGCUAUAGUGAUUGGGUUUACCAUGUUAAGAAAACUAAACUAAAAUACAGAUAUAAAAAAUAAUGCACACACAUAUUUUUAUAGCACAUUAGAAGCAAAGCAUGGUCUAGUAAAAAUGGACUUACACCUCCAGGGCUGCUGCAGAUUCUAUAAGGGAUAUGGCUCGUAAAUUUACACUGGCACACCGAGUCAAAUCUGCUAUGAACCAGCUGGCUUUCAAGAUGGGCCUUGCUGGAAAAAGUUUUCCUGGGAGCAAUAUGAGAAUUUCAAAGGAAGACGAGAGGAAAGGAAUCAAAGUUGCAUGAUAAUGUCAAUCAGUCAUUCACCAUAGCUGUAAAAUAACAUAGUUCAGAUCAUUAAGGCAAUUGAUUGUGUUGCGGUGAACUGAAGAUCUACUGUGUGACAACAGAAGCUGCAGUGGGUGAAGGAAAAGGGUUAAACGCCCUUCAAAGAUCAUUUAGCCAGGUUCUUCGGUCAGCCUCAUCUCCUUCGUCUCUGAGCACCUUUCAGUAAUGCAUUAAGCAACAAGACUAACAUGCUGGUUCCGUACCAAGCCCUGAUUCCUCCCCGUUGUGAAGAGCGGGAGGGCAGAACACAAGCUCACCCCUCUCAAUACGCUGGCCUGAGCACUGAGCGUCCAACCUGUGUGGACACAGAAAUGUGGUUCAUGAAACUCUUCUUAUGGCAAGGGAAUGAUGACGCUGCUGUAUUGCCAACACCAAAUGUUCAAAGAUCAUGAGUCAGACUCACCAAAAAUCACAAGAUUGGCUUUAAAAUCACGAGAUAUAAAAAUAA